rnacentral:rRNA from 1 species
UUUGAUCCUGGCUCAGAUUGAACGCUGGCGGCAGGCCUAACACAUGCAAGUCGAGCGGCAGCACGGGAAGCUUGCUUCCUGGUGGCGAGCGGCGGACGGGUGAGUAAUGCAUAGGAAUCUGCCCGGUAGUGGGGGAUAACCUGGGGAAACCCAGGCUAAUACCGCAUACGUCCUACGGGAGAAAGCAGGGGCUCUUCGGACCUUGCGCUAUCGGAUGAGCCUAUGUCGGAUUAGCUGGUUGGUGAGGUAAUGGCUCACCAAGGCGACGAUCCGUAGCUGGUCUGAGAGGAUGAUCAGCCACAUCGGGACUGAGACACGGCCCGAACUCCUACGGGAGGCAGCAGUGGGGAAUAUUGGACAAUGGGCGCAAGCCUGAUCCAGCCAUGCCGCGUGUGUGAAGAAGGCCCUCGGGUUGUAAAGCACUUUCAGUGGGGAAGAAAGCCUGGUGGUUAAUACCCGUCAGGAAGGACAUCACCCACAGAAGAAGCACCGGCUAACUCCGUGCCAGCAGCCGCGGUAAUACGGAGGGUGCGAGCGUUAAUCGGAAUUACUGGGCGUAAAGCGCGCGUAGGUGGCUUGAUAAGCCGGUUGUGAAAGCCCCGGGCUCAACCUGGGAACGGCAUCCGGAACUGUCAGGCUAGAGUGCAGGAGAGGAAGGUAGAAUUCCCGGUGUAGCGGUGAAAUGCGUAGAGAUCGGGAGGAAUACCAGUGGCGAAGGCGGCCUUCUGGACUGACACUGACACUGAGGUGCGAAAGCGUGGGUAGCAAACAGGAUUAGAUACCCUGGUAGUCCACGCCGUAAACGAUGUCGACUAGCCGUUGGGGUCCUUUCGCGGACUUUGUGGCGCAGUUAACGCGAUAAGUCGACCGCCUGGGGAGUACG